rnacentral:snRNA from 1 species
AGCUUUGUGCAGUGGCAAUAUUGUAGCCAAUGAGGUUUAUCCGAGGCAUGAUUAUUGCUAAUUGAAAACUUUUCCCAAUACUCCGCCAUGAUGACUUGAAAUGUAGUUGGCAUUGGCAAUUUUUGACAAUCUCUAUGGAGA